AUGGAAUCUUGCACAAUGGGCGAAAGCCUGAUGCAGCAACGCCGCGUGAAGGAUGAAGGCCUUAGGGUCGUAAACUUCUGUUCUUGGGGAAGAUAAUGACGGUACCCAAGGAGCAAGCCCCGGCUAACUACGUGCCAGCAGCCGCGGUAAUACGUAGGGGGCAAGCGUUAUCCGGAAUUAUUGGGCGUAAAGAGUGCGUAGGUGGUUACCUAAGCGCAAGGUUUAAGGCAAUGGCUCAACCAUUGUUCGCCUUGCGAACUGGGCUACUUGAGUGCAGGAGAGGAAAGCGGAAUUCCUAGUGUAGCGGUGAAAUGCGUAGAUAUUAGGAGGAACACCAGCGGCGAAGGCGGCUUUCUGGACUGUAACUGACACUGAGGCACGAAAGCGUGGGGAGCAAAC
rnacentral:rRNA from 1 species